UCCUUAAUUCCCCUCAGGCCCCCAGUUAUUUAUGAUGAGACGCAGUCUUUGUUGUAGCUGGUUAUUUCAAUUGGCCUUGUUUUAUUUUGCUCUUUACAACAUGCGGUUACUCACUUGGGGCAGACUGCAGGAUAGAAAUUCAAGUAAGGAAAUAAAUAAACUGAAGGGCUUAGCAAGAAGAGAGCUAUCAGUUUAUUCAAAGCAGCAAAAAAGACAAGUCUUUUCCUGAAUUCAGAACAAAGAGAAAGCUUCCGUAUGUUCUUCAUGAGAAAUAUUUUUUUUAAAAAAAAUGCUGAUAUCAGGAGUUUAAAAAUCUUCAUAAAUCAGCCCUUUGUUUGAAGUGCACCUCUGCAAAAUUAUGUUCAGAUUUGAUGUUUGCUCAAAAGUGUUCUAGAAAUAGCUGAAUUAUCA